rnacentral:misc_RNA from 1 species
GAAAUGCGAUAAGUAAUGUGAAUUGCAGAAUUCAGUGAAUCAUCGGAUCUUUGAACGCACAUUGCGCCCGCCAGCACUCUGGCGGGCAUGCCUGUUCGAGCGUCAUUUCAACCCUCAGAACCCCUUGCGGGAUCUGGCGUUGGGGAUUGGCAUCCAGCCAGCCCCGAAAUCUAGUGGCGGUCCCUCCGCGACCUCCCCUGUGCAGUAGCGAUACCUCGCAGCGGGACAGCGGUCUGACCACGCCGUAAAACCCCCAACUUCUCAAGGUUGACCUCGAAUCAGGUAGGAAUACCCGCUGAACUUAAGC